UUGGGAAGUAGGUGAUAAAUAAGCUAUUUAUAUUGUAGAAAUGUGUAAAGAAUGUUAUACAUAGUAUGUGAUUAAUACAAAUUUGAUUCCAACUGAAUUAGAGGCUACAGCAGAUACACCAAAAGGAAGAAACUAUAAAAAAAAUUUGCAAUGUGGUUACAAGUAGGAUUUUAGUUUAUGUUUUUUUAGAUUCAGAUUGUAUGAAUAUCUAUGAGACCAUUAGCACGCCUGUGUAUACUAAGAACUUUACUAGUUACUUUUUAAAAAUUAUGUGUUUUUAAUAAAAUGUCAGUUCUAUGAGCAUGUUUUGAGUCUGUUCUGCUCCCUGUUGUAGUCCUAGCACAGGAAGAAUCCUGGCUUACUGGUUUCAUAUUCAUUCUGCACCUUCCUUGCUAUAGUAUAAUUCUGUCACAUCGUUAAUGUGAAUGUAUUAGUUUAUCUUCAUAAUUUAUAAUAAAUUAACGUUUAUUACGGUUAGCAGUCAGUAACAUGGAAAAGCAAGAACUCUAACUGAACAGGUUGACUAUAUAUUGAUCUAAAAACCUCAGAAGAGAAAAAAUAACUGUCAAAAACAAGUUUUACACUUUUCCAAGUUAUUCUUGUAUCAGAAUUCUGUCAAUAAAAAAUACAUUUUUGUUGAUACCUUUUUUUUUUUUUUUUUUUUUUUGGACCAUGAGGGUAAUUCUUAUUUAUUGCAGAUCAACUUGGAAAAAGGUAUGAAAAACAUGAAUAGCAUUAAUGAAAUAAUGCACUGAUACCAGCAAUAUCAUAAUGUAAAUACAGUGUUUGAUAAAAUUUAGAUGUGGAUCUUUCCACACAUUUAUCUGCAUUUAUUCUAAGAUUUUAGGUUGGAGUGAAAAAUUUGGGCCAUUCUCUUCUAAAUGAUUACAAAUAAUGCAUCAUGAAUAUUUUAUAAAAACAUUGAGUAGCCUAGUCGAUAGUUUUGAAAUAUGAUUUUAUGUGCCAUCUUUUAUUCUAUCAUAUAAUUGUUUUCUGAUUCACUUGACUUGCUUUUAUAGCAUUUUCAAUAUAUUAAAUAUUUUCUGUCUUCUUUCUCUCAGAUUUACUAAAAUAUUACAUUUUAAAUAGUGGUUUUUUCCAAUAUUUAAUUUUGCCAUUAUUCCACCCCCAUGAUUCAUUCACCUCCCGAGAGGCCCCACAUCCAACACUGGGGAAUACAAUUCAACCUGAGAUUUAGGUCGGGACAGAGAUCCAAACUUUAUAAUUCCGCCCUGGCCCCUCUCAUAUCUCAUGUCCUUCACAUUUUGCAAAGUACAAUCCCAACACUCCUCCAAACUCUUAACUAGUUGAAGCAUUAACUCAAAAGUCCCCAUUCCAAAGUCUCAUCUAAGACAAGGUUAAUGCCUUCUGCCUAUCAGCCUAUAA